rnacentral:rRNA from 1 species
UACGGAGGGUGCAAGCGUUAUCCGGAUUCACUGGGUUUAAAGGGUGCGUAGGUGGGCAGGUAAGUCAGUGGUGAAAUCCUGUAGCUUAACUACAGAACUGCCAUUGAUACUAUCUGUCUUGAAUACCCUGGAGGUGAGCGGAAUAUGUCAUGUAGCGGUGAAAUGCUUAGAUAUGACAUAGAACACCCAUUGCGAAGGCAGCUCACUACGGGAAUAUUGACGCUAAGGCACGAAAGCGUGGGGAUCAAACAGG